AUACAUGCAAGUCGAACGAGUUCUCGUUGAUGAUCGGUGCUUGCACCGAGAUUCAACAUGGAACGAGUGGCGGACGGGUGAGUAACACGUGGGUAACCUGCCCUUAAGUGGGGGAUAACAUUUGGAAACAGAUGCUAAUACCGCAUAGAUCCAAGAACCGCAUGGUUCUUGGCUGAAAGAUGGCGUAAGCUAUCGCUUUUGGAUGGACCCGCGGCGUAUUAGCUAGUUGGUGAGGUAAYGGCUCACCAAGGCGAUGAUACGUAGCCGAACUGAGAGGUUGAUCGGCCACAUUGGGACUGAGACACGGCCCAAACUCCUACGGGAGGCAGCAGUAGGGAAUCUUCCACAAUGGACGCAAGUCUGAUGGAGCAACGCCGCGUGAGUGAAGAAGGCUUUCGGGUCGUAAAACUCUGUUGUUGGAGAAGAAUGGUCGGCAGAGUAACUGUUGUCGGCGUGACGGUAUCCAACCAGAAAGCCACGGCUAACUACGUGCCAGCAGCCGCGGUAAUACGUAGGUGGCAAGCGUUAUCCGGAUUUAUUGGGCGUAAAGCGAGCGCAGGCGGUUUUUUAAGUCUGAUGUGAAAGCCCUCGGCUUAACCGAGGAAGCGCAUCGGAAACUGGGAAACUUGAGUGCAGAAGAGGACAGUGGAACUCCAUGUGUAGCGGUGAAAUGCGUAGAUAUAUGGAAGAACACCAGUGGCGAAGGCGGCUGUCUGGUCUGUAACUGACGCUGAGGCUCGAAAG
rnacentral:rRNA from 1 species